UAAAAAUUUGGGCUCAUAGAGCUAAAAAAAAAAUUUUUUUUUUUUCUUACUUAGACUCAGCUCUAAAAGACC
rnacentral:tRNA from 1 species